rnacentral:rRNA from 1 species
GACGAACGCUGGCGGCGUGCCUAAUACAUGCAAGUCGAGCGGAACUGGGGGAGCUUGCUCCUUCCAGUUUAGCGGCGGACGGGUGAGUAACACGUGGGCAACCUGCCCUGCAGAUCGGGAUAACUCCGGGAAACCGGUGCUAAUACCGAAUAGUUUGGCGCCUCUCCUGAGGCGCUACGGAAAGACGGUUUCGGCUGUCACUGCAGGAUGGGCCCGCGGCGCAUUAGCUAGUUGGUGGGGUAACGGCCCACCAAGGCGACGUUGCGUAGCCGGCCGGAGAGGGGGACCGGCCACCCGGGGACUGAGACACGGCCCAGCCUCCUACGGGAGGCAGCAGUAGGGAAUCUCCCGCAAUGGACGCAAGUCUGACGGAGCAACGCCGCGUGAGUGACGAAGGUUUUCGGAUCGUAAAACUCUGUUGUGAGGGAAGAACACGUACCAACUAACUAGUGGUACUUUGACGGUACCUCACCAGAAAGCCACGGCUAACUACGUGCCAGCCGCCGCGGUAA